UUUAUGGUAAAUUUGUUGUAGUUUUGUAAGGUACUCCGUUCUUAACCAAGUGGGGAAAAAAACAUCCUCACAAGUCGCGCUUUCAAGACCACUCGGAUUCGGGGGGGAAAAGAGGUCAAAUCGUGACGUAAGGGAUAUUGAGGUCGGAGAAUUCGGAGCUCGAGGAUGAUCCAAGUUUCCGACUUGGAAUUUCGAGUUGGAUGACCGUUCAAAACAAAUUUUCCAAUUCGAAACACAUUUUUCCGAAUUGCAAGUUGUAUUGAACACACUGAGGUCAGAUGUUCAGAGAUUCCCGAGUUCCCAGUUGAAUGGAACGCUGCAUGAACUCCGACUUCUCUCCCAUUAUGGCCUCUUCGUUUUUUUAAUGUAACUAGGCAAGUCAGUUAAGAACAAAUUCUUAUUUAUUUAUAAACCGGGACAACGCUGAGCCAAUUGUGCGCCGCACUAUGGGACUCCCAAUCACAGCCAGUUGUGAUACAGCCUGGAUUCGAACCAGAGUGUUUGUAGUGACGCCUCUAGCACUGUAUCAGGAAAUGAAAGCAGUAUCAGGAAAUGAUCUCCAUAACAGAUUUUUCGGCAGUUAAGUGUAACAACUAAACAUUAUUUAUAAUAGCAAUCUAUUCAUAUAUAUUUUUUCACACUGUAUUUUCUUGACAAGCAUGAUUGAUAGCUGUUCUUGUAGUUUAUGGUUGACCAGCUGGUUGGCCAUUAGCCAAUCGGCGUUUCAACGAGUUCAAAGCAUGUGUGAAUGUAUCCAAAUUGCAACGAGUAAUUACCACCUUCCCAUGUGGUUAUGCUGCGUUCAUGUGCUCCUCGAAGUAUUUGAUUUCGAUAAUAUUGCUUUGUUUCAUUCAUUUGCUUUUUGGUCUGACUCUGCAAACUUGUUAGAUGCAUUUGCUGUUUGUUUUGCUUGUUUUUCAGUUUAUGUUGUGCCCAAUAGAAAUGAAUGAUAAAUAAUGUAUUUUAGGAAGGUAGAAAGAAAGUAAUUUGAACCGGUGAUUCGGAACAUUUGGUACAUUUGGAUCAGUUUGGGGUCCUGGGGACCAAUGCACUCAAAUCUUAAACAUUUGAACCGGGGACCAAUACCUAUCAUGAAUCGUUACAUCCCUAAUGUUUCCUACUCUCCUUGUCUGUUCCAAUCUCACUGUGUAUUUGCUUCCUUUCAGGAUUAGAAGACACUGGGUAUCUAUCCUCUGAUGGCUGCCAUGAAUGGUCACGUCCCUGCGGUCAAGCUGCUGCUGGACAUGGGCUCAGACAUCAACACUCAGAUCGAGACCAAACGUAACACAGCACAGACCCUGGCCUGCCAACGUGGAGCACUGCGUCAAGAAACUGUGCCCCGCAGAGAGCAAUUAUGAAAUCGGCGAUCGGAGCUCUCGGCGAUGAAGUAGCUGGAGGAUGCCAAGGAACGAUUCGUCAUCCUCACCGACCAUCGGAACCCUGAGUACAUACGGAGACUGAAUCUGCGCCAAGCCAGGUCGCUGAGGCACUCUUCCAACAGGUCUUCCGGCAUUAUGGCCUUCCAGAGGACAUCGUCUUGGACAGUGGCCUCCAAUUCACAUCCCAUGUAUGGAGGGCCUUCUUGGAGAAGCACGGGGUCACGGUUAGCCUCACAUCUGGGGAUUAGAAGACACUGGGUAUCUCUCCUCUGAUGGCUGCCAUGAAUGGUCACGUCCCUGCGGUCAAGCUGCUGCUGGACAUGGGCUCAGACAUCAACACUCAGAUCGAGACCAAACGCAACACAGCACAGACCCUGGCCUGCCAACGUGGAGCACUGCGUCAAGGUGAGAGCAGCCAUCAUCGGCUGAACCUGACAUGUUAUGUUAUCUGGGAUAGAGUCAAACACCAAACAUCAUUCCUAAUGUCUUUGACUGUUUGGUGCAGUAUGUCACUGACCCAUACGUUCUCUCUGAUUGGUCAAACUCCUCUCAUGGAGGGUGUGUCAGGUGGCUAUGCUGAGAUGGGGCAUGUUCUGCUGGACAAGAGUGCUUACGUCACCUGUCCAAACCUCCCAAGACACCGUGUGCACCAUUGCUGCAGACAAGGGCCACUACAAGUUCUGUGAGCUCCUCAUCAACAGCUAAUUGCUACUGUUACAGUCUACCUUCAGUAUGAGAGUGAGUGUCAUUUCAGUCAGAAUACCAUUCCUCUCCAGUCUCAUUGCUCUCCAGUCUCAUUGCUCAGACCUGCAACUCGUCUCGGAGUUCACUUGUGAAGUUACAGAAAACGUUUGACCUCUGUCAUUGCCAACAAAGGGUAUAUAAGAAAGUAUUGAGAAACUUUUGUUAUUGACCAAAUACUCAUUUUCCACCAUA